AGAGUUUGAUCAUGGCUCAGGACGAACGCUGGCGGCGUGCCUAAUACAUGCAAGUCGAGCGGACCGACGGGAGCUUGCUCCCUUAGGUCAGCGGCGGACGGGUGAGUAACACGUGGGUAACCUGCCUGUAAGACUGGGAUAACUCCGGGUAACCGGGGCUAAUACCGGAUGCUUAAUUGAACCGCAUGGUUCAAUUAUAAAAGGUGGCUUUUAGCUACCACUUACAGAUGGACCCGCGGCGCAUUAGCUAGUUGGUGAGGUAACGGCUCACCAAGGCAACGAUGCGUAGCCGACCUGAGAGGGUGAUCGGCCACACUGGGACUGAGACACGGCCCAGACUCCUACGGGAGGCAGCAGUAGGGAAUCUUCCGCAAUGGACGAAAGUCUGACGGAGCAACGCCGCGUGAGUGAUGAAGGUUUUCGGAUCGUAAAACUCUGUUGUUAGGGAAGAACAAGUACCGUUCGAAUAGGGCGGUACCUUGACGGUACCUAACCAGAAAGCCACGGCUAACUACGUGCCAGCAGCCGCGGUAAUACGUAGGUGGCAAGCGUUGUCCGGAAUUAUUGGGCGUAAAGCGCGCGCAGGCGGUUUCUUAAGUCUGAUGUGAAAGCCCCCGGCUCAACCGGGGAGGGUCAUUGGAAACUGGGGAACUUGAGUGCAGAAGAGGAGAGUGGAAUUCCACGUGUAGCGGUGAAAUGCGUAGAGAUGUGGAGGAACACCAGUGGCGAAGGCGACUCUCUGGUCUGUAACUGACGCUGAGGCGCGAAAGCGUGGGGAGCGAACAGGAUUAGAUACCCUGGUAGUCCACGCCGUAAACGAUGAGUGCUAAGUGUUAGAGGGUUUCCGCCCUUUAGUGCUGCAGCAAACGCAUUAAGCACUCCGGCCUGGGGAGUACGGUCGCAAGACUGAAACUCAAAGGAAUUGACGGGGGCCCGCACAAGCGGUGGAGCAUGGUGGUUUAAUUCGAAGCAACGCGAG
rnacentral:rRNA from 1 species